rnacentral:rRNA from 1 species
GACGAACGCUGGCGGCGUGCUUCACACAUGCAAGUCGAACGAAGUUGCGAACGGGUGAGUAAUACGUGGGUAACCUGCCCUUCUUUUUGGGAUAAGUCUUGGAAACGGGGUCUAAUACCGAAUAAUGGGGGAUGGGUUCGCGGCCUAUCAGCUUGUUGGUGGGGUGAUGGCCUACCAAGGCGGUGACGGGUAGCCAGCCUGAGAGGGUGAACUGCAACAUUGGGACUGAGAUACGGCCUAGAGUCUGAAGGGAGGGGGAAGUGGGGGAUAUUGCACAAUGGGCGAAAGCGUGAUGCAGCGAGGCCGCGGGGGGGAUGAAGGCUUUCGGGUUGUAAACCUAGUGCGCUAUAGAACGGGUAGGUGGAGAAGAAGAGCCGGCUAACUACGUGCCAGCAGCCGCGGUAAUUC